UCAUAACUGGCCAAACCUCUAGCGCCCUCUCUCUAUUGCAGAAGGUCCCAAUGACAAGAGAGGAUUGACAAUUCAUUUGAGCUCCAGACGGCAUAUGGGCCGAUGUCAGCGUGUGUGAAAACAUCUGCCAAGCGCGUACAGGCGGAAAGAAGAGGAGCUGGGACGACUGCCCUCUUCCUCGUUAAUCCAGUGACUCCCGGACUAAUAAAUGACCAAGUGGUCAUUUCAAGAUGGCCGACAAUAUCAAAGCUGUCAAUGUGGAUGAGAUGAGCAAGUUUUAGCCCUGGACAGCUGCGUUGGAAGGAAA